rnacentral:rRNA from 1 species
CCUACGGGACGCAGCAGUGGGGAAUAUUGCACAAUGGGCGAAAGCCUGAUGCAGCGACGCCGCGUGAGUGAAGAAGUAUUUCGGUAUGUAAAGCUCUAUCAGCAGGGAAGAAAAUGACGGUACCUGACUAAGAAGCCCCGGCUAACUACGUGCCAGCAGCCGCGGUAAUACAUAGGGAGCAAGCGUUAUCCGGAAUUAUUGGGUGUAAAGGGUGCGUAGACGGGAAAUUAAGUUAGUUGUGAAAUCCCUUGGCUUAACUGAGGAACUGCAACUAAAACUGAUUUUCUUGAGUACUGGAGAGGAAA